UUUAGAGGCCUGCAGUGUAGUGUGAGAGCAGCAAACCCUUGGCACAGCAGUCGCAGAAAGCAGAGCCGUUUGCUGAGUCAGGUCCUUGAUGAGCUGGCAGCUCCUCAUCGGCCGUCUGGUAUUCAUUGUCGGCAACUUGCAGUCUCAACUUCCUACAUCAUCUCUUAAUCCUCUAAAAGAUGUGUUGCUCUGACUCAGACUGAGUGCUCUCUUGCUCCCAGGCCACUGUGGAGGCCUUUCCAUGGAGCUGCAAAGAACUGCACUGACCUGGCCACCCUUGCUCCUGAGUGGUGUCUGCCUGUCCCAUGCUUAGAUCAUGGCAGGCAGAUUUCAACAACCCAAUCAUGUCCCGUGGCUGGAAAGCUAUUCACACCAGCUGAAGUGUAUUCCAGCUCUACAUUUUCCACUAUAUUCAGUGAGGCAUGGAAGGGUGGGUUUUUUUCUGCCAUACUGUCCCCACCAGUCAUGUCUUCUCUAGGCUAAACAGCACCAGACCUUAAAUCUUUUCUCCAGAAUAAUUUUUUCUUUACCUCCUUGCUUUCCCCUUCAACUUUCUUUUCUUGCUCAUCUGCUGUGUUAAAAGAUACAGUUUUGCCUUUGACAAUCACUGUUUUCUCAGGGAGCCAGGAGAUGUCAUUGCAGGAGGUAAAAAACCUUUACACUUGAGACAGAUCAAGCUUUCUUGUUACAAAUGGAGGUUGUUUGCCUACAUCACCUUGGUCUGGCCUUCAUAUUUUUGCAUUGGCUGCAAACCCAAAGUAGCUGUCACUGAGAUGAUAAGACUUGGACAUCGAGAAAAGUCAGUUGGAAAUAAGCACGGAGAAGAAUAAUUUUCAGUGAAGUCUGGGUAUUUUUUAACUCUUUUUGCUGCAUAGGAGCACACAAUAAAGUUGUUCAUUGCUUUUCCUUCUCCCA